rnacentral:rRNA from 1 species
AUGCUUCCCAUGGUCGACGACCCCUCCGCUGCCGGCGCCGCUGCGUCCUCCUCCUUCCCUGACGCCGACGCCUAUGGCAACGGGGACUCUGAAGACAUCGACUUCCCAGUCGAUCCAAUUCCCAACCCUCCCUUCUCCUCUGCUCCCGUCGCCGCCCCCGCCUCCGCCACGGCCACGGUCGGGGAGCGGCGGCCCCUGUUCCAGCGGCUAUGGACGGAGGAGGAUGAGAUCGUGAUCCUACGCGCGUUCGCCGAGUUUACGGCGCAGCGGGGUACGGCGUUCGCGUCCCACCAGUACGACACGGAGCCCUUCUACGAGGAGAUGCGCCGCCGCCUCCAGCUCGAUUUCUCCAAGAGCCAGCUCGCCGAGAAGCUUCGCCGCCUUAAGCGCAAGUACCGCAACUGCGUCGAGCGCCUCCGUUGCUCCGGCAACACGUUCUCCUUCCGCUCCCCUCACGAGCAGGCCGUCUUCGAGAUCGCUCGCAACAUCUGGCGCCCCUCCUCCGACAAGCACGGCCGCGACCCCAACGCCGCUGACUCUGAAGACGACGCCACAAUCACCGCCACGAAUGCCGCAGCCAACGGAGACGCCAAGUCCCCGUCCUCCUCAAAGGCGCAUCGCCGCGGCCGCCGCAGGCGCACGGCUGACUUGGCUGCCGAUGCAUCCGAGGCGCCCCAGCCGUACACGUCGGGGCCCAUGCCUGUCAAGACGGAGGACUCGCUGCCGGCAUUCUUUCCUCAUGUCUCCAUGGACGGUGCUGAGCCUGUUGUGGCGCCAGUGGUGAACACGGAGAGCAGCGUCCUGACGCCUCUGUUCAAGGAAAUGGUCCGUGCCAUGCUAGGCAUCGGCGGCUGCCCGUCACCGCUGGGCCUGGGAGCGAAGGUGCCGGAGCAACCGUCUGCAAUUCUCGGGAUACCCAUGGAUGGGGAGAAGUGGAGGCAGCAGAGGAUUCUGGAGCUGGAGGUGUACCUGCGGCGGAUCGACCUGCUGCAGGACGAGGUGAAGUCGGCACUGGAGGAGCUAAAAUCCACGCCGCCAACCUGA